GUGGCUUGAUGUUUUACUCAUGCUAUCUCCUACAUUGUUGAGAUUGAAAAGAGAUGAUAUUUCAUAUAAUUGAUACCCCACUGCAUUCAACUAUGAGAGCAGAAUGGCAGCUCUGAUGCAAGCACAAAGCUUCUUUUGAAUUAAUAGAUGAGCACUGGGGUCAAUUUAUCAGACCUACAAGGAGAGAAGAAAUGAGCUCAACAAGCGGAGGAAUGAUCUGGAAUACAAAGACGUUUUCUAAAUUUUAGGCAUUACAAUUAGAACAUAUAAUACAUUGGAUUCUCUCUUUUAUUUAAAUUCUUUGUACAUAGAUUAGCCUGGUCUGUUCUAUGACCAAAUGUAGUAUUUCUAAAUACAGUACUU
rnacentral:lncRNA from 1 species